GGAAAUUCUAGGUCCGCCAUUGACGCCUAUGGGUAGAGACAAGGUUUAUAUGUCCCAGCCCUCUCGGAGGAAGUCGUCACGUGUAGAAUUAUAUCUACACAUAAUACAGCGUGUGUUUGUACGUACAACAGCGAGAAUGGAAGCAGAAGAAACUUGCUGUGAAAACGGAAAUGGCUGCUGAAUGUGAAGGAAAGCUUAUUUUGGGAUAUUUGCAGGUACUUAGCAGAAAUGACUGUCAGGCGUCCUUACUGGUAGAAGAAAUCUGCCACUUGACCAGCAUCACUGUCCAGGUCAGCGGUCACCUCCUUACCUCUAGGCCACUCUCACAGGGGGGUUCUGAC